UAUUCAUCGCAGACGGAAGUAUUGCAUGCGGGAAAAAAUUCGUUUGAUGAACAGCCAUGUCUUGAAAUCAUAACGCCAUCGUUGUAUGAGUGGGUGAAGAUGAAUUUAAUGCGAUUCCACUCUCCUGUAUAAAGGAUCCAAGAAAAGAUUUUAGUAAAUACCUUGAGGGAGAAUGCAUAAGCAUGAAAACCUCCAGAUCUUGGUUUCCCUGGCCUGAAUCUUCGACGCCAUUUUGUUAGCAGUUCGAGAUGGAUUCAAGCAAAUUAAGAAGUGGAUUAUCCUAAAAAUUCGUUGGAUACAGACAAGGCCUAUAGAUCUAUAUGACAAUCAGAAUGAUUACCUCAUAGUGGACUAUAAGGCCUACAACAUGCAACAGCUAGCUAUUUCUAAUCAGAGAGGUGGGAAGACCCGGUAGGAUGUAAUACCAAGUAAACAGUAAAUGGAAAUUUAAAUUAUAAAAAAGGUAGUGCCUGAAAAAGACAAUUUAAGACUUGAUAUUUUGAAUGAAAAAUAAAAAUUGAAAUAUAUUUGUCUCGAUUAUUUUUUAAAGUAUAUUGCAGGAUGAAAAGCUAGCAUAUCCUUGCUGAAUAAGUGCUGUAACAUUGCUGAAUAGGUGGGGUAUUAUUGCUGAAACGGCACUGAAUAUUUGCUGAAACGGCACUGAAUAAUUGCUGAAACAGUACUUAAUAUUUGCUGAAACAGCACUGAAUAAUUGCUGAAUAAUUGCUGAAACAGUACUUAAUAUUUGCUGAAACAGUGCUGAAUAAUUGCUGAAACGGCACUGAAUAAUUGCUGAAUAUUUCUGAAACCUUGCUUACUUAUUAUAAGUUUGAAAACUGUAUGAAACAUUGCUGAAAUUUUGGCUGAAACAUCACUCGCAAUUGGCUGAAACACCAAGUCUGAAACAUGCCUGGAAUGUUCCAAUUACAGGCAUGUUUCAGACUUUUGUUUUAGACUUGAUUCAGAUAGACAAUUCUGGAAUGUUUCAGGAAAAUUUCAGAAAUGUUUCAGGAAAAUUUCAGACUAAAAUUUUCAUGAGGGAAGUUAGCUGUCUGUUUUUCAUGUCAUGAAAAAAUCAUUUUUGGAUCCAGAUCUCUAGAUUCCUGUGUAUAUAUAAGAAUUUUUUUGAAAUAAGGAUUGAAUCUUCCAUAAUAUUGCCUUCUUUUUUUUUAUUUUAGGUAAAUAUAGGUACAGGCUUAAAAUUUAGUCUUACCAAGGCCAUGUUGCAUAAUGUUUCUUUCACACUUUUCAAGGUUUUUACAAAAAUAGAAUUUUAUCAUAACAAUCUCAAGUACACCAAUUGAGUCCAGUGUACCGUGAAUAGCACCAUGUAGCACUAAAUGAAAAAUGUCACAGUGGUUUUCAGUCCCACUAUUGUACGUCACAGAACAUUAAUAGCAUUUACUGAAAUGUACUUCUUACAAAGGUACCCUCACUAACUCCCUAACUGUAUGAAAACUGAUUGUUCAAGGUUAUUUAAAAAUUUGUUGCAAAAGCAAAUGACAUUUUGAGGGGAUGGAGGUUUUCAAAAAGUAGGGUUUUUUUUUUUUUUUCGAAGUGUCCAUUUAGUUGUGGACAAGUUGCUUUUUUAAAUGAUGCUUGUAUUAUGUACUAGUGUGAAUCUUGAGUUUUGAUUUUAUAAAUUGAUGUUUUAUCUCGGAAAGGUUUCCGGUAUUUCUUUCUCUAUCGUCAAUUUCUCCCAGUUUCUGUCUAUUUGGGAUUGAAGAAAACAUUUAUAUGAAUAUUAGGUGUUAUCUAAAAACAAUAAAUCUUUCUUAAAACUUGAAAAAAAAUAUGCUCAAUCUUUUAUAUUUAGAAUGCAGAUGCUUAGAAUGUACACAGAGGUUAUAGAGAUAAUCUCCACGCCAACAAUAAACUAUAUUCACAAGUGAGUCAUCUUAAAGAAGUAAAAGUGUCGUGAUUUGUUAUCUCGCUGAAGGAUGCAUAUCAAGAGCUGGGCCAAUUUAUACAAUUUCCCAUUUACUAAGAAAAUGUUCAGCUUUUGUCGUGAUGUUUAGCUCACCUGGACGUAACAAAUGUCCAGAGAGCUAUUUCCAUGACCCCAGCGUGGGCAGUAACAGCAUCACAAUUUAAGGGGAAAACUUUUAAUUUAUACCUUGGCUAUAUCUUUUGCACCAAGGGAAAUAGGGCUUUGAUAUAUUACAUAUAUAGGUUCCCCAUACGACC